GGGGCGGCCGGGCCGGGGCCGUGCGGCUGCCUCGGGGCCGUGCGGCUGCCUCGGGGCCGUGCGGCUGCCUCGGGGCGGAGCGGCCGGGCCGAGCCGUGCAGCCCCGGCCGCACCGCCCCCGCCGCGGGCGAGCACAGCUGUGGGCCGGGCGGGCCCUGGCCCGCGGCCGCGGAGAAACCGACAUGGGCGACGCGGUCGGGUUCCUGUAUGGAGAGACGAAUGCAGGGAUUUGAUCCUGACUUGGUGCUUGGAACAACCGCGCUUUAACGUGUAAAAAGAGUUGAAGAAGACUUGUUAAUGUGGAAGAUAUUUCACGAAAGGAUACUCGAGGAUCACUACUAUCCUUUCUGACACCACUAGCCUUUCUUUAUGCCAAGGAACAGAUGUGAAGUAGGGCAGAUCGACAGAGAAUGUUCAACUCAAUUGGUAUCCUGCUCACCAGGAAUGACUGUAAUGGAGUUCAGUUUUAUUUUCUUCCUUAUUUCUGCUUAAUGGAAAGAGGAAGAAGCUGUUGUUAGAAUACUACCACCAGUUGACUGUAUUUAAGGCUUCAAAUAUCUUAAGGUGGGCUUUACAGCUCUCAAAAAUAUUCCCAUUGCUUUGCAGUCUGUGGGGAUUCCCUUGAAUUUUUUCCAGAUUCUUUCUGCAGUAGUAUGAGCUCCUGCAAGCGCUGAACUCGACUGAAGUUGCUUUUGGCACUGCAGGAGCCCCUCUGUGGCUGUACCUGAGCCUGGCCACGCUGCAGAGCUGCAGCAGUCACUGCUGGCCUGCCGUGCUUCCAGCAGUGCCCUACCAGUCUUGCCCCUGCUCUGCCACAGCGUGGGAGCUUGAGAUGGCCAAGCCUCUCAUUUUAGGAGAAUAAACCUACAAGAUUCUUUCCAACCCAUUUUGCCAGUCACCUUCCCAAGGUUUGGUUACCGUUUCCCAAUUUCCCACGCUGGUUUUGCCUUUUGAGUCCAUGCACAUUCUCAUCACAAUACCCAGGACUAACCAAUCUUUCACAUCCCACCCCCUGCUUUUCACUUUUUCCAGUUUUCUUUCAAGUUUUUCUCUUUUGUGCAGCCUCCAGCCUGCCUUUAUUCCCCUUGGUAAGGCAGAAAGAUGAGCAGGGAAAGCACUAGACUGGGAGGCAGGAGAACAGAUCAAAGGAGAGACUGCACAAGGGGCAGAAUCCAACAAGUUACACGACCCAAAAAAACAGGAGGGAGUUUCCUCCUUGUACCACCAAGCCCCACCCUGGAACUUCUCAUAAACUAAAUAAACCACAGUGAACUAUUCAAAAGGCAAAUGUUUAUUAGAUACAUGGAACUUUAAAAAACUUUCAAAGAAUUAUGCAAGAAGUAUAUUUAAAUAUAACAGGUGUUAUUGCAAUUGUGCUACAUUACAAAAUCACUUUUCUACUGCCAGCACAAUCUGAAGACCUUAAUGUGAUAUGUGAGACCUGUUACAUUGACUCUGGCACACAGUAAGUGGUCGGAGCUUUCCUGUUCAAAGUCCCUUGUGCUGCACCAGGCUGUUCUUGAGGGCAAGAUCAGCUCUCCGUGGAACUACAGCUUUUAUGUUUCAGUAAAUACAGGAACUGGCAAGGAAUAACAAGAACUGCUGUUUUCCUCAGCAAAAAAAGGAAAAUCAAAAUAAGAUUUCAGGCAAAAAUAUUGUAUAACAGUUCAGGAGGUAAACUCUCUUUCCAUGGCCAAACAGUUCCUAUUAAUCCAACUCCAAGGUGCUACAGGUGCACCAAAAGGAGAAUGACUCAUAGGUCCAGCAUUUACACAGAUGGAAUUAGUAACAGUACAUUACAUUCAAGUCUCUUGAUUUGCUUAUUGCCAUGCUGCACCACAUUAUUGCUUCAUAUUCUGUAUCUUGAACAAGAGGUUGAUGACUUUGGAGAGUUCAGAAAUAUCACAGAGGCUACUAAUACAAGAAACUUUACAUGUUAAGGACAGGAAGUCAAAGACAAACUCAGUCCUUUGUCACUGAGGCGUGCUGGAAACAAAAAAAUAGAAAACAACAAA